UGAAGAUGACCUCUCCUUAUCUCUAGUUGUAGAACUUUCUGUGAAAAUUCUAACUUUAUGUAAACAGUUAAUAUUUAAUGAAAUAUCAACUUCAUGCCUUAUUACUUCUGUGUGAACAUUUCUUGUCAAUAAUGGAUCAUCAAUCAACUUGAAAACUGUGCAAGUGCCUCUUAUUUUAAACCGUUAGUCAAUAAUUAAGCAAACUAUAUAACAGUUAAGAACAAUGAUAAUAUAAUCCGAACUCAACACUUGAACAAAAUAAAGUAAUGCAUACUUAUCAUUACCGAAGUGUGAGAUCGGUCAUAUGUGAAGUGAAUUCGGCUGAUCCUCCUUGUACCAUCAAGAUCUUGCUCACCACUCGGGGUAGAACAAGUAUAUAAGGACCAAGAUAUAAGGAUCAAGAUAUAAGGACCUUUGUCUACCACUCGGGGUCUGACAAAGUCUAAGAAUGACACUUGCCUACCACGAAGGGCCUGACAAAGUUAAAAGAUGACAUUAGUCUACCACGAAAGGCCUGACGAAGUCAAAAGGAUCACCUGCCGAAGAGGCUACCAUCGAAUGGUCAGCGAGUCCUCCCGAACCUCCUAUCGAAACCAAAAGAUGACAUUCGCCUACCACGAAGGGCCUGACGAAGUCUAAGUGGCGACAAUUGCCUACCCCGAAGGGCCUGACAAUGCGAAAGUGACUACAAUUGCCUACCCCGAAGGGCCUGACAAUGCCAAAUAGUGGCGACAAUUGCCUACCCCGAAGGGCCUGACAAUGCCAAAGUGACCACCUGCCGAAGAGGCUACCAUCGAAUGGUCAGCGAGUCCUCCCGAACCUCCUAACUCCGAGGUGGCAUUUGCUGUGCCUGUCAGAAUAUGGAUGAGCUACGGAAGUUCUUUAUGAAUGUUUUAAACUUCAAUCCCAUGAGCUGGCAUUUGUUAACCUGAUCCCUAGGCAAUGGACCCAGUACGACUACCCCCAGACAGCAAGAGGUAUAGGAGAUAAAAUCGAAAUAUAGCAUUUUGGUGGCUGAUGUGGGAUCGAACCAUUUGGCUGGCAAAUAUCCACAUGAACCCUCCAAACAACAUUUGCAGCUUCGGACGGCGCCCGAAAUUCCUCAAUAGUGGGAGAUGGGUCUAAAGUAGAAUACCCGAAGUCUUUCUGUGCUGAAUCCCCAGUUCUUUCAAGAAUAUCGNNN
rnacentral:lncRNA from 1 species